rnacentral:rRNA from 1 species
GACGAACGCUGGCGGCGUGCUUAACACAUGCAAGUCGAACGGUAAGGCCCUUCGGGGUACACGAGUGGCGAACGGGUGAGUAACACGUGGGUGAUCUGCCCUGCACUUCGGGAUAAGCCUGGGAAACUGGGUCUAAUACCGGAUAGGACCACUGCCUGCAUGGGUGGUGGUGGAAAGCUUUUGCGGUGUGGGAUGGGCCCGCGGCCUAUCAGCUUGUUGGUGGGGUGAUGGCCUACCAAGGCGACGACGGGUAGCCGGCCUGAGAGGGGAACCGGCCACACUGGGACUGAGAUACGGCCCAGACUCCUACGGGAGGCAGCAGUGGGGAAUAUUGCACAAUGGGCGCAAGCCUGAUGCAGCGACGCCGCGUGAGGGGUGACGGCCUUCGGGUUGUAAACCUCUUUCAGCACCGACGAAGCGCAAGUGACGGUAGGUGCAGAAGAAGGACCGGCCAACUACGUGCCAGCAGCCGCCGUAA